CAGUAGCCGCGGUAAUACGAGGGGUGCAAGCGUUAUUCGGAUUUACUGGGCGUAAAGGGCGCGUAGGCGGACUGAUAAGUCAGGGGUGAAAUCCCAAGGCUCAACCUUGGAACUGCCUUUGAUACUGUUUGUCUUGAGUUCGAGAGAGGUAAGUGGAACUGCGAGUGUAGAGGUGAAAUUCGUAGAUAUUCGCAAGAACACCAGUGGCGAAGGCGGCUUACUGGCUCGAAACUGACGCUGAGGCGCGAAAGCGUGGGGAGCAAACAGGAUUAGAUACCCCAGUAGUCCCUGUCUCUUAUAC
rnacentral:rRNA from 1 species